CAUGCAAGUCGAACGGCAGCGCGGGGCAACCUGGCGGCGAGUGGCGAACGGGUGAGUAAUAUAUCGGAACGUACCCAGAAGUGGGGGAUAACGUAGCGAAAGUUACGCUAAUACCGCAUACGAUCUACGGAUGAAAGUGGGGGACCUUCGGGCCUCAUGCUUUUGGAGCGGCCGAUAUCUGAUUAGCUAGUUGGUAGGGUAAAGGCCUACCAAGGCGACGAUCAGUAGCUGGUCUGAGAGGACGACCAGCCACACUGGAACUGAGACACGGUCCAGACUCCUACGGGAGGCAGCAGUGGGGAAUUUUGGACAAUGGGCGCAAGCCUGAUCCAGCAAUGCCGCGUGAGUGAAGAAGGCCUUCGGGUUGUAAAGCUCUUUUGUCAGGGAAGAAACGGCUGAGGAUAAUACCUUCGGCUAAUGACGGUACCUGAAGAAUAAGCACCGGCUAACUACGUGCCAGCAGCCGCGGUAAUACGUAGGGUGCAAGCGUUAAUCGGAAUUACUGGGCGUAAAGCGUGCGCAGGCGGUUUUGUAAGUCUGACGUGAAAGCCCCGGGCUCAACCUGGGAAUUGCGUUGGAGACUGCAAGGCUUGAAUCUGGCAGAGGGGGGUAGAAUUCCACGUGUAGCAGUGAAAUGCGUAGAGAUGUGGAGGAACACCGAUGGCGAAGGCAGCCCCCUGGGUCAAGAUUGACGCUCAUGCACGAAAGCGUGGGGAGCAAACAGGAUUAGAUACCCUGGUAGUCCACGCCCUAAACGAUGUCUACUAGUUGUCGGGUUUUAAUUAACUUGGUAACGCAGCUAACGCGUGAAGUAGACCGCCUGGGGAGUACGGUCGCAAGAUUAAAACUCAAAGGAAUUGACGGGGACCCGCACAAGCGGUGGAUGAUGUGGAUUAAUUCGAUGCAACGCGAAAAACCUUACCUACCCUUGACAUGGAA
rnacentral:rRNA from 1 species